CACCCCAACCCUGCCCCCUACCUAGACAAUACACACAUGUAAAAAAAAACACACACACUGUCACAAACCUGCUCACUCACACGUACACUGAUCGUGAUGAUGAUGUCUUAAAAUUAGUGAAGAACACUGGCCUGGAGGGGCGUAACGAUCCACCAUCGUCAUCAUCAUCAUCAUCAAUCGCCGUCUUUCGUCGACUGUGGCCAUUUGCCACCCAAAUCGUGGACCCACGUACACAAAUAUAAUAAGUUUGAAGCCAGAGACAAAACGCGUAGCGAUGCGGUGAGACCCACAGAGAUACGUGAAGACUCGCAGAGAUACUGCCCUGAAUGUUACGGGGUGGAGGACGAGUGUACUGCAGUUGGACGGGUCCGAGCCAAGUGCUUGCUAUACAGGGACUGAUUUGCUUAUUCGACUUACGAACUUUCAGAGAUACGAACAAAGCCGGUUCGUAUGGCCCAGUUGCCUGUUCGAGCCGAGAGUCGCAGCAUCAACCACCGUGCGAUAGAUGGCGGUGGUGGCAUCUACAUCUACAGAUUACAAGGGACGCCUCAACUUACAAACAUUCAAAUUGCGAACUUUCAGAGAUACGAACAAACCUGGUUCGUACGGUCCAGUUGCCAGUUCGGACCGAUAGUCGUAAGUCCAACCACCGCACAAUAGAUGCACAAACGUGAAGAACCAGCGGCAUCUAUGUCUACAGGAGAUUAUACGUUUAAAGCCAUUCCCCCCGUGUUUAGUGUACAUGCCAUACAACGUUUUUUGGAAAGGACGUCAGUAAAUUUGGACUCACGAACAAAUCGAUGUAUGAACAGUCCUCUGGAACCUAACUCGUUCGUAAGUAGAGGAGUCCCCGUAAAAACUAGUUUUAAUUCAACCAGGUAAAAGAGGUGUGUAGCUUUUUUCCCAGAAUCGACCUGGCCAUCGCAAACGAUAGCUCGACAAAUGUGGCUUAUCACCGUCACGUGGAAAUUUGUAGUGGCGGUCACACACUCUAAGCGGGUGCUUCUAAAUGCGGCGGGGAAAACCCGGGGAGAAAAAUCCACGCGACCACGGAUAAAGAGUUCGAGAAAGACGCAAACCCAAAAUAUACAGCUGGCUUCAGGGUCGCAUAGCGAAACCACGACCUCCUGCAUACCAGGCGAGGUAGUGAACAUCUCCUAGCCACUGCGGUGCCCUAGGCCAGAGACUCGUUACGAUUGGCGCUUAAGAAGGGAGUGGGGAGUGGGGGGUUACUGGAGUGGAUGCGGUUAAGCUAGGUCGUGGCUCAGCGAUAGAGUGGAAUGAAACCCACGACCUCCUGCAUACCGGGCGAGGUAGUGAACAUCUCCUAGCCACUGCGGUGCCCUAGGCCAGAGACUCGUUACGAUUGGCGCUUAAGAAGGGAGUGGGGGUGGGGGGUUACUGGAGUGGAUGCGGUUAAGCUAGGUCGUGGCUCAGCGAUAGAGUGGAAUGAAACCCACGACCUCCUGCAUACCGGGCGAGGUAGUUAACAUCUCCUAGCCACCACGGUGCGCCACCACGACGCAGAUCGCGUCUCCCGUCGAUAGGAGAUGCGAACAUUGACAGAUGACGACGACGAUCCAGAUGGCGAUGGCGAUGAUGAUGAUGAUGAACUUCGUUAUAAUUUCCGGCCCCCCCGCGCGGAGAGCAGGUGGCGUUUACGAGCUAGCGGGAGGCGCUUCUCUAUCUCGAAGUCCGCGAUCGUGGUGUGGUUUUUUUUGUUGUUGUUGUUGGAGGGGUCCCUUGCCUGCAGCGUACAUUGGACAUUUUUGAUCAUCAUGUAAUGGUUAAAAAAAAAAAUAGACAAAAUAAUCAAGCACCAGAAACAGGAUGUUUACAUCAUGUUUUGUACCCUGAUCAGUGUGGCUGUUUUUUGGACGAGAAAUAAACGCAGGUCUCUGGUUCAA